AGUUGGUGGAGUGAUUUGUCUGGUUAAUUCCGAUAACGAACGAGACUCUAGCCUGCUAAAUAGUCAUCACGUAACAAUUGCGUGACAUGACUUCUUAGAGGGAUUCGCCACUUUUAGUGGCACGAAAAUGAGCAAUAACAGGU
rnacentral:rRNA from 1 species